rnacentral:tRNA from 1 species
ACUUGUCUAGCUUAGUCGGUAGAGCGCAAGGCUCUUAGCCUUGUGGUUGUGGGUUCAAGCCCCACAGUG